UUCAGUAUCUACUAGAUCCUCUCUUCCUCUAGAGUGCUGACUGGCAUCUUCAGAAUCAGACGUCGAGGGGGAUUCAGUGCUUCCGUUAUUUGAAGCUGUAUUGCUAUCUCCUUCACUGAUACAUGAAGAGCAAUUAUCUGAACUGGAGGUUCUACUCAUCAUAAGAUCUUUAGAGUACAGGUCAUCGUUCUUCAGUUUUAUGUCAACUUCCAUCUUCUUCCCUUCCUUUAUUGAAUUUUUACAGAAGUCAGAGUCCUUGCUGCUGUCAUUGACGAUGACAUUACCCAACAUUUCUGUAGCCUUACAUCGAGACAGUGUAUCAGCUGACUUCGCAGCAGAGUUAAGAUCUUCAAACUCCUCAGCCUUCAAUGUUAAACAUGUUGAUUUGUCAGAAUUUGAGCUGAGUCCUGGAUGCUUCAGCUCCACGGAGUCUAACACCUUUCUCACAUUUACUGGCUCCAUCAUAGAAGGAUUUUGACUGAUGGUCACUUUGCUUCUAGGUCUAUAAUCUGUUUCAGAAUUCCUAUUGGCUCGGUUAACUGGCUUGGAGACAUCCAGAUCAGGGUUUGAUUUGAAUAUGGAUUUAGGUUCUCGCAUGCCUCUGUUAGAUUCUACCUUUUCCCAGUAUCCAUUAAUGGGUUUGCAACUGCAAGAGUGGUAAUCAUACCUCUCACUAAUCCUGUUCUCUGAACAUUGAGACCCCUCAUGUGUCUUAAUGCUAUUUGGGCUACCCCCAGCCUUUACUCUUAAAUUUUUCUUCGACCCGUUCAAAUGCCUUGAAGACAUAUCAAAUCUAUCAUUACAGUAUCUUGCCUCAGCCCUACUGACAAAAGAAGUAUUCUCCGAAUAUCUGCGUUUAUCUGACCGCCUCAAUGCAUAAUCAGGUUGAGGUUCUUUCCAGAAUCUUGCUGUCUGAUGAACAGGUCUGCAAUUAUCAUUUGUGAAGCACCCGUUUCCAUCUUCAUGAUCUAUAACCUCUCUUUCAGUGGUAUCACAAAAGUAGGUUUCCGCUCUUGGGGAAGUGCAACCAUCCAAACACUCUCCAUCUAGAUCAUCAGGAGAACCAGGAGGAGACAAAUCUAAAUCUCCACUUUCAAUUCCAGACUCCUCGCAGCUUAUAGUAUUGUUCAUUUCCUGAUCAAGAUUCAAGGAGCCUUUUUCUUCCCUUGAUAAAUUUGGCAACAUCGCUUUAUCACUAAAUAUUGGAUUCUUCUGCUCCUUUUCUAGUUCUUUUUCCUUCAACCUCUCCUUUCUACGAAGUUUUUUCUCCCUUUCUUUUGUUCUUUUCCUUUCUUUUCGCUCCUCUUCUUCACGCUUUUCUUUCUCUUCUUCCUCCAGAAGUUUCUUCUGCAAGUAUUAAGACAACGGAGUUGUUGGACAAAAUAAGUGUAAUAUAUCUUGUUAACAAAAAAAAAAAAAAAUCCAAUCAAGAUAGCAAACAAAACCUGCUUCUCCAAGGUGACAAUUUCCUUGCAGGCAAUAUGAAUACGUUGCUCUAAUAGUUUCGAUGAAAGGCAGACAAAUAUACUGUGAGCAUUUUGACGGGCUGUACCUUCUCUAAAUGCCUUUUCAACCUGAGAUAUUAUUAUGAAUAGAUAGCAAUGAAUACACCUAAACACAACACAAAAUAAAAAUUCCUGGAUACGAACUUAGAGGAUUCUAUAACAAACCUGCUCCUUGAAAAUAACCGCUGCAGCAUCUAGAAGAAACUCUCGCGCAAGUUCUGGACUCUUAGCGUGCUUUUGUGGACGCAGGCACUCACCAUCAAGCUCAUUCCCAUCUUUGUCUACCAUGAUUUCAUCCUUAAAUAGCAUCGGCAACAAAAUAAAGAUAUUUUAACAAGGAUAUAUCAUAUCUGCAAAAGUAUCUGAUGGCUUUCAGCCACAAUGCUUGUGGAUCUUCAAUUUACCUCUUCUUCCUCAGCCUCUUCAGCAUGCUCAAAAAACAUUCGAAUGCAUUUCCCUCGUUUGAUUGAAACAAAGCCAUCUCCAACCACAAGCCUGGAGUGAACGCAUUGUUGGCCUCUCAAUGCAUGGGCUUUGACGGAUUUCUCGGAGGAGCGGCCAUUUUUUUUAAAUGCCCUGAGAGUAAUGUAGCAUUCGUGUAAUCCACGAAGGUCUAGGCCAUUGACUUGGGCACUCCCAUCAUUGCCAACACAUUUGAACUCAAGGAUAUCAGAUUCGCCUUCUUCAGUUCCAAUUGCCCACUCGAAAUGAUGAUAUCCAGCAUACUCUGUAAAAUAUUGACUCCAAUCUGCUCGGACGGAAUCAAUGUCCACCUGAGAAAUUGCAAUUAUACUUCUCAUUCUACCUUUCAAUAUAAGCCACUCAGGUAUAUUGGUAAACUAUACUCUUGAAAACCAGUGUUCUUGUAGCAUAGGCUAGGAAUCCAAAAAAUAAGAGGAAAAGGUUAAGAAAGAUAAGGACCUCAUACUGAAAGGCUGUAUCGGCAACACAAAACCAGUCGGUACAUCGUGGUUCUCUUUGCAUUCUUUUAUGUUCCUUAAGCAAUUUAAACUCCCGAAUAACAUUUCUUCUGCAGUCUCUACAAAACUUCUUGCAGUCGAAUCUAUAAUUUAAAAGGUCAGCAUAUAACUUGAUGAACGGGAAAAAAAGUCACAAGACCAUAUAACGAAUAAAAAGAUACAUACGAAACUAAGUAAUGCAUGCAAUGUAGGCAUAUCCUCAAAGUCCUAAAUGCUAAAUCCAUAAAACAAAAAUUCAAUUUAAAAUAUGGUAACUUAAGUGGUAUGAGUUCAUAAUACACCCUAAUUGGAGAAACCAGAUCAUAUCUCAAAACACUUUCUCAACUGAACUUGUGACAGAACAUUCAAGAAUACUGAAUCAGCAAAUAACAAACCUGUAAGUUAGUCUUUCUAUGAAAUCCUCUUCUUUCAUUCUCAAAAGUGACUGUCGACUAUCCUCUUCAAGCGCAGACCAAAAAUCCACUAAAGUAUCACAAGAGAGCCUUGUGACAUGCAAACCACAUGUUUCUCUUGUUCCAUGACCUUUACCAUAACCAGUCAUCCCUUGACUUAUCCAUACCCGACCUCCACCACCACAAGCAUCGGGAUAGAGCAACUCACGUUCCCUCUCUCGAGCACGGGCACUUUCAAACACCUGCUACAGCCAAUAGAUUAGCUAGCUAAACUGAAGCGACCUGAUCGAGAAUAGGGAAACCUUGGAUGAACUUACAGUGUGAAGCACUUUAUAAGAUUUCGCAUACAAAUAGCAGUCAAGAAGUGUGAGUGAUCCAUCGCGUGUUGUGGUGAGGCCGCCCCAUUGAUGAACAGCGGGGUCUUGCAACGCAACGGUACAUCUGCUACUGACCACUGAGUUACAGUCAAUUUGAUCUUUUGAGGCUCCUGAUCUGUUGCACGGAAGGUUUCCUAUCGAUCCUUUUUGUUGCAAGGACCUCCCAUAUGAAACAAUCUGCAAGAAGCUUUCAAGCAGAAGGCCGUUGCAUCUGGAACAGCACAUGUUCUUGCGAGCUUGCUCAAACAGAGCCUGCUUGUCAAUCCUGAGAAGCUCCUGCCUAGUUUUCGGCGACAGCUCACUCCAGAACUGUAUAAGAGUUCAAACAAAUUGGUUUCGAGUGUAUUUAUAACAUCAUGUUUUGUAAAAAAGAACUAUGGGGGAAAACAUGGAAGCACACAUGUCCCCUAUUUGACUCCAUUUUCAGGCCUAUUAAUUAAGAUAUCUACUUCCAAGGAUACAUGGUUUUUUAAAGUAUCAAUGCUCGCAAAAAUAAGGUUUUCGAUUUAUUUGAUGAAUCAAAAAGGGUUUGAUGAGCAUCAUCUAAACUCAAAUAUCAUUUCAGAACACAGACUCGGGUUUGCUAAAUUCUCGAGCAAAUCAACAACACCCAUCACAAGUACUUCGACACUCAAUAAGAAAAAGCUGAAAGGCAACGAUCGAAUCUGAGCUAAAUUCAACGUCAAAAUUCGGAGAAUCCAAUCAAAAAACGAGUUAUAAGAAAAUUAGAGAAGUACCUUGUGCAACUGAUUGUAGCUGACUCCAUCGACGUCCUUGGACCAAAACCCAGAAGAGUAAUGCUCAUUCUUCUGUGCUAAACCCGGCAUCUUUUUACACUCGUCUGUGUUCAUCAAUUGAUGAUUCCUUAACCGCCUCCCAGACGGGCGCAGGCUAAGAAAUCAAACGAGAAGCGAAUCAAAAUUCCGCCGAAUCGGAAAAUGAAAUCACGAAAAAAGGUUCCAAUCGGAAAGCAUUCGAUCGAGAUCCUGUGGUAUGCAGAAUUGGGUAAUCCUGAAAACCCAAUUACAAUAUCUUUCCGGACUACGUCUUCUCGAAUCCCAAAAUGAAAGGAAUCGAAUCAAAAUUGGAUUGGACUGGAUUGGAAAGAGACGCGACACAAGGUUCUUCGGGCGAUGACGAUGAGAUUUGCAGCUAAGUAUAUAUUAUAGGGGAGAGAGAGAGAGGGUAAAAGAGGGGGAGGAUCGUUAAAAAGUUAAAAAAAAAAAAAACCUAAAAUAUGCAGAGAUAUCUAAAAUGUACUUUUCCUUGUUACAGUACCUUUCUUUACAUUUGGGUAAAUGUUUUUAUUUUUAAUGGGCUCAUUAUAAUUUUUUUUGAAAAGAAAUAUAUUAUUAUUACAUAUUUUGAGUCAUAUUAUUACAUAUUUUUGGACCUAAAAAGGAUUAUUAUUUGCUCUCUUUUUUGGUUAAAAUUUUAUUAGUAAUUCUGAGGUACCUUUUUGGCAUAGUAUUGACGUUAAUUUGAGAAAUUGUUUUUUCUGUAAAUAUGUUUUUUUCUUGUAAAUAUUUUAGAUAUGUUAUUUACAUUUGUGGUUAUAGUAUGGUUUGUUUUGGACUUCAGCUUCAUACGGCAAGGGAAUUUGUGUGGGUCAUGUGCGGGUGUCGUCAUUAUGUUUAAUCCUUACUUGUUUUAUUCAUGAUUUCAGAACUGAUAUGUAGUAUGUGAUGAUAUAAGAUACUUAUAAGAUUACUAUAUUGCACAUUAUAAAACAGUAAUCUCACACAAUUUAUUUCUGUUCUUAUCGUGUACUAUGAAAAGUUUAUAUCUCAUUCCAUAUUGAGGCACAUGCCUCUAAGAGUCUAAGUAAUGACGCUUGUCUAUUUAAAACAAAAAUGAAAGAGAUAUAGUAGUAUAAGUAAUAAUCAUAUGCAAAUCAUUGAAAAUGUAAUUAACGACAUAGAAAUCUUCAAUCCACAAUACUCUGACGACUAAUUUUACUAUUUCUUGCAAUAUUGACUCCUCAAAACAGAAACGAAAGAGGGCUUUAAUCCAAUGAAAAAUAUAAGUUACAUUUGAUUAAAUAACAACAACUUAUAAACAAGAAUCAUAGUUAUUUGAACAGAAAAGAGAGCAAAAGAGCCAUAACAAAUUAACAAUAACAACAACAAAAACAAGAGAAAUGGUAAAUUGGUUAUUUAGGAAGUAGACUCAGGACCGGCCGGUUUAAAGUUAAGAAGAGGCUGAAGUGCCUUGAGGCCCUUGACAACGAUGGUCAUGUUUGGUCGGCGAGAAUUAUAUAUAAUCCAGUGUUGUAAUGAGAUACACCCAGCAAUGGAGAAUUAUUCAUUUUGAGUAAAUCAGAACCUUUGAAAAGAAAGACAAAAACUCUUGCAGAGAUCUUUACAUGAAAUAAAACAAGAGAGAUUUUACUGCGUUCAGGAUUACAAUGUUCCAUAACGCCAAACAAACCCAAAAAAUGUAUAAAACCCUUUAGAAGAUGGAAAACCUCAAGCUGUUAUCUGUCGCAAACAAGUUGUACUCUUCACCUACUGUGCUCUUUUUCUCCUUAGUAUUAUUUCCGGUGGGAUCACCAAAAACAUGGUCUCCUGUGAACUGCAAGGAGAAAUCCCCCAAAAUCCUAUCUUUGGAUUGAGCAGGACUAGAUUUACUUACUGUAGACAGAGCAACCGGCCCACCGAAGUGGAAUAAGGAGAAGUUUUCGUCACUAUCAGUUUGCGGACCUCUGCUGCUUGGAGUUUCCGCUGGAUACAUUCGCUUUAAUUUCCCUUCAUCCGCAUCCUUUAGAAAAAUCUGUUCCAAUGGCUCAAGAGUUUGAGCUUGCUCCACAGUGUUCACUGUGUUGGUUUCACCAAACGAAUGGAAAACUGGAACUGGCCCGGAAUUGAAAAAAGUUGCCGAAUGGUUCAAAGGGGCUCCAUACUGCACGCAUAACGGGGUCUCUGCAUUCAGACUGUAUCCAAGAGGACCUGUGUAUACAUAACUGUUAGGCUGAGGGUAUGGCAUUAAUCCGUUGGCAGGAGCUGCAGACCAAGAGACUGGAGCUUGGUGAUAGUAACCCAAUGUUGAAGGAGCUUGGAAGACUGACAACGGUAUACUCUGGUUAAGCAUUUGGGGAAACAUCAUGCUUUGUGGCUGGGACAUAUAGGAACCAGUAUUAACACCAGGUACCAUAUUUUCCAUGUUUUGGCUAGGAACCGUAAAAGGAGUUCCUGAUAAUUUACUUUCCCCGUUUUCAGCUGAAAGGUUAGGCAUAUUCUUCAUCCUUAAAAGGUCUCCUUCAUCGAUUCUCUUCUCUGUCUCUUUCUCUGUCAUCUUACCUUGGCAGUCAGGCAUAUGGUUUUCAGUAUCUACUAGAUCCUCUCUUCCUCUAGAGUGCUGACUGGCAUCUUCAGAAUCAGACGUCGAGGGGGAUUCAGUGCUUCCGUUAUUUGAAGCUGUAUUGCUAUCUCCUUCACUGAUACAUGAAGAGCAAUUAUCUGAACUGGAGGUUCUACUCAUCAUAAGAUCUUUAGAGUCCCUGCUGCUGCCAUUGACGAUGACAUUACUCAACAUUUCUGUAGCCUUGCAUCGAGACAGUGUAUCAGCUGACUUCGCAGCAGAGUUAAGAUCUUCAUUCUCUUCAGCCUUCAAUGUUAA
rnacentral:lncRNA from 1 species